GUGCCAGCCGCCGCGGUAAUACAGGGGGCGCGAGCGUUGCUCGGAAUCACUGGGCGUAAAGCGUACGCAGGCGGGUCGAUAAGUCCGUUGUGAAAUCCCAGGGCUCAACCCUGGAACUGCAGUGGAGACUGUCGAUCUUGAGUACGGGAGAGGAGAGCGGAAUUCCUGGUGUAGAGGUGAAAUUCGUAGAUAUCAGGAGGAACACCGGUGGCGAAAGCGGCUCUCUGGCCCGAUACUGACGCUCAUGUACGAAAGCGUGGGGAGCAAACAGGAUUAGAUACCCGCGUAGUCC
rnacentral:rRNA from 1 species